rnacentral:rRNA from 1 species
UACAGAGACUGCAAGCGUUAUUCGGAUUCACUGGGCGUAAAGGGUGCGCAGGCGGUCGGGUGUGUCAGAUGUGAAAUCCCGAGGCUCAACCUCGGAACUGCGUCUGAAACUACUCGACUAGAGCACUGGAGAGGGUAACGGAAUUCACGGUGUAGCAGUGAAAUGCGUAGAUAUCGUGAGGAACACUAGAGGCGAAGGCGGUUACCUGGACAGUUACUGACGCUCAGGCACGAAAGCAUGGGGAGCAAAAGGG